rnacentral:lncRNA from 1 species
UUUUAAGAUUUGGGAGGAUCUAAAAGGUUAUUGAAGGCUUUAAUCGGAAAUUUGUGUUUGGCUGUGGUUGGUUUAAAUGGACGGUUGUUACACGGAGGCUGUGAUGAGUUAUCAAAAUAAAGCCAAUAUGUCGCCAUGGCGUGGCAGAUAUGGAGGAUGGCAGGUCAGAUCAUUGUUUGACGUGGCAUCAUAGAGGAUGGUAGGUGCAUUUUUAUAUGCUUGCAACCUAUGGUGCAGCCAUGAUAGCUUGAGACCUUUGUCUGAGCCUUACCGU